rnacentral:rRNA from 1 species
CCUACGGGUGGCAGCAGUGGGGAAUAUUGCACAAUGGGGGAAACCCUGAUGCAGCGACGCCGCGUGAGCGAUGAAGUAUUUCGGUAUGUAAAGCUCUAUCAGCCGGGAAGAAAAUGACGGUACCUGCCUAAGAAGCCCCGGCUAACUACGUGCCAGCAGCCGCGGUAAAACGUAGGGGGCAAGCGUUAUCCGGAUUUACUGGGUGUAAGGGGAGCGUAGACAGCGGUGCAGGCCAGAUGUGAAAGCCCGGGGCUCAAACCCGGGACUGCAUUUGGAACUGUGUGGCUGGAGUGUCGGAGAGGCAGGCGGAAUUCCGAGUGUAGCGGUGAAAUGCGUAGAUAUUAGGAGGAACACCAGUGGCGAAGGCGGCCUGCUGGACGAUGACUGACGUUGAGGCUCGAAAGCGUGGGGAGCAAACAGGAUUAGAUACCCCGGUAGUC